GACCAGCAAAUACAGUUUAUUUUGACUAAAUAUCACAUUCAAUAAACUGGAAUGAAAAUAAACAGAUCAUUAUUUAUAAUAAUCAUCUAAUUGCCACUGAUUAUGUUGUAAUUAAGUGCCAAUCUGUAUAAGAAUCGAUGACAAACAAAAAACCCACUUAAGUUUACAUUGGUUUAAGUUCAAAAUGUAUAAUGGUACAUAAUAUACCAUUAGUUUCCAUUUCCUGUUUUUGUAUUUCUAGAUAUUAUUUGUUUGAAAUGUACUAAAAAUUACCAAAUAAGGGGGAGUUAACUCUGUAACUUGCAAGCAUUCUAACCAAAAGUUAUGUGGAGAAUUCUUUAAUUACCAGACAAGAAGAAACAAAAGACCUACCAUUUCUAACUCAGGACGAGGGUAACUUAGAAAUAGAAUGGUUAGGUUGGCUGGUUUUUCCAGUUAUGAUUUUCAAUUCUUCUAAAUUGUGUGAUUCUUACAAAGACUGGCACUUAAUUGUUAACUGACAAAGUUUCCUUUUUGUCAAAUUGGCUGUAAAAAUAUGAUGGUUUCUACACUCUUAACAGCAAAAAUUUUACUGUUUAAUCUGAGUGCAGACUGCAAUAAUGACCAGAUAUAAUGUUUUUUUUAGACAUGUAUAUGCAUAUUACCAUAUUAGCCCUUAAAAAAUAUUUUUUUCUUACUUCAAUUACACACAAUAACAUACAAUAUUCAAAACUAAAAUUCAUUAUAUAUUUUUGUUCCUAAGAUUAAUUGAAAAAUAAUUGGAUUUGUAGCCAGUUAGAUAUAUUUUCAUUUGUUUGUUCAAUAUACAUUCAUUAGCUAGAAUCUGUAAUCAAUUAUGCAAAAAAUCUUACUAUUGAAGUUGAUUUUAAGCCAGUCAUAAAAAAAUUCAAUAUGCUUACUUUAGUCUUAAGAAUUUUUGUGAAACUGUUCACAGGACCAUUACAAAACUAGUGAUAUUAAUUUUUAUUACAGUUUUUGAAAACAAUUAUUUAAAUCAUAAUUUAUAAAAUCUGUACUCUUGCCAGAUUUAACAUUCCUGAGUAGGACAAUUAGUAAAACACUGUCUGAAUUACUUACUUCAUCUAAGAAAUUUACAAAAUGAAUAUAGUUUUUGAAUAUUUUCUAAACGAUGCAUGCUUUGAAUGGAAAAUGCAAGUCAUUUAUUAUUAUAUGGUCAUGAUACUUACAAAGAAUCACCACUUUUUAUGGUC
rnacentral:lncRNA from 1 species